rnacentral:rRNA from 1 species
CCCCGUACACAAAAAUGCACAUGCUGUGAGCUCGAUGAGUAGGGCGGGACACGUGGUAUCCUGUCUGAAUAUGGGGGGACCAUCCUCCAAGGCUAAAUACUCCUGACUGACCGAUAGUGAACCAGUACCGUGAGGGAAAGGCGAAAAGAACCCCGGCGAGGGGAGUGAAAAAGAACCUGAAACCGUGUACGUACAAGCAGUGGGAGCACGCUUAGGCGUGUGACUGCGUACCUUUUGUAUAAUGGGUCAGCGACUUAUAUUCUGUAGCAAGGUUAACCGAAUAGGGGAGCCGAAGGGAAACCGAGUCUUAACUGGGCGUUAAGUUGCAGGGUAUAGACCCGAAACCCGGUGAUCUAGCCAUGGGCAGGUUGAAGGUUGGGUAACACUAACUGGAGGACCGAACCGACUAAUGUUGAAAAAUUAGCGGAUGACUUGUGGCUGGGGGUGAAAGGCCAAUCAAACCGGGAGAUAGCUGGUUCUCCCCGAAAGCUAUUUAGGUAGCGCCUCGUGAAUUCAUCUCCGGGGGUAGAGCACUGUUUCGGCAAGGGGGUCAUCCCGACUUACCAACCCGAUGCAAACUGCGAAUACCGGAGAAUGUUAUCACGGGAGACACACGGCGGGUGCUAACGUCCGUCGUGAAGAGGGAAACAACCCAGACCGCCAGCUAAGGUCCCAAAGUCAUGGUUAAGUGGGAAACGAUGUGGGAAGGCCCAGACAGCCAGGAUGUUGGCUUAGAAGCAGCCAUCAUUUAAAGAAAGCGUAAUAGCUCACUGGUCGAGUCGGCCUGCGCGGAAGAUGUAACGGGGCUAAACCAUGCACCGAAGCUGCGGCAGCGACGCUUAUGCGUUGUUGGGUAGGGGAGCGUUCUGUAAGCCUGUGAAGGUGUGCUGUGAGGCAUGCUGGAGGUAUCAGAAGUGCGAAUGCUGACAUAAGUAACGAUAAAGCGGGUGAAAAGCCCGCUCGCCGGAAGACCAAGGGUUCCUGUCCAACGUUAAUCGGGGCAGGGUGAGUCGACCCCUAAGGCGAGGCCGAAAGGCGUAGUCGAUGGGAAACAGGUUAAUAUUCCUGUACUUGGUGUUACUGCGAAGGGGGGACGGAGAAGGCUAUGUUGGCCGGGCGACGGUUGUCCCGGUUUAAGCGUGUAGGCUGGUUUUCCAGGCAAAUCCGGAAAAUCAAGGCUGAGGCGUGAUGACGAGGCACUACGGUGCUGAAGCAACAAAUGCCCUGCUUCCAGGAAAAGCCUCUAAGCAUCAGGUAACAUCAAAUCGUACCCCAAACCGACACAGGUGGUCAGGUAGAGAAUACCAAGGCGCUUGAGAGAACUCGGGUGAAGGAACUAGGCAAAAUGGUGCCGUAACUUCGGGAGAAGGCACGCUGAUAUGUAGGUGAAGUCCCUCGCGGAUGGAGCUGAAAUCAGUCGAAGAUACCAGCUGGCUGCAACUGUUUAUUAAAAACACAGCACUGUGCAAACACGAAAGUGGACGUAUACGGUGUGACGCCUGCCCGGUGCCGGAAGGUUAAUUGAUGGGGUCAGCGCAAGCGAAGCUCUUGAUCGAAGCCCCGGUAAACGGCGGCCGUAACUAUAACGGUCCUAAGGUAGCGAAAUUCCUUGUCGGGUAAGUUCCGACCUGCACGAAUGGCGUAAUGAUGGCCAGGCUGUCUCCACCCGAGACUCAGUGAAAUUGAACUCGCUGUGAAGAUGCAGUGUACCCGCGGCAAGACGGAAAGACCCCGUGAACCUUUACUAUAGCUUGACACUGAACAUUGAGCCUUGAUGUGUAGGAUAGGUGGGAGGCUUUGAAGUGUGGACGCCAGUCUGCAUGGAGCCGACCUUGAAAUACCACCCUUUAAUGUUUGAUGUUCUAACGUUGACCCGUAAUCCGGGUUGCGGACAGUGUCUGGUGGGUAGUUUGACUGGGGCGGUCUCCUCCUAAAGAGUAACGGAGGAGCACGAAGGUUGGCUAAUCCUGGUCGGACAUCAGGAGGUUAGUGCAAUGGCAUAAGCCAGCUUGACUGCGAGCGUGACGGCGCGAGCAGGUGCGAAAGCAGGUCAUAGUGAUCCGGUGGUUCUGAAUGGAAGGGCCAUCGCUCAACGGAUAAAAGGUACUCCGGGGAUAACAGGCUGAUACCGCCCAAGAGUUCAUAUCGACGGCGGUGUUUGGCACCUCGAUGUCGGCUCAUCACAUCCUGGGGCUGAAGUAGGUCCCAAGGGUAUGGCUGUUCGCCAUUUAAAGUGGUACGCGAGCUGGGUUUAGAACGUCGUGAGACAGUUCGGUCCCUAUCUGCCGUGGGCGCUGGAGAACUGAGGGGGGCUGCUCCUAGUACGAGAGGACCGGAGUGGACGCAUCACUGGUGUUCGGGUUGUCAUGCCAAUGGCACUGCCCGGUAGCUAAAUGCGGAAGAGAUAAGUGCUGAAAGCAUCUAAGCACGAAACUUGCCCCGAGAUGAGUUCUCCCUGACCCUUUAAGGGUCCUGAAGGAACGUUGAAGACGACGACGUUGAUAGGCCGGGUGUGUAAGCGCAGCGAUGCGUUGAGCUAACCGGUACUAAUGAACCGUGAGGCUUAACCUU